UCAUGACCCUCUCCGCCAUUUAAAGAAACAGUACCGGGGGCGGGUCGAGCGACGCAGCCGGGACGGUAGCUGCGGCGCGGACCGGAGGAGCCAUCUUGUCUCGUCGCCGGGGAGUCAGGCCCCUAACUUGAAGAAGCCCUGGCGCGCCCUCCCCCCCUCCCCGGUCUGAAAAAGACACUGAUCUACACUGCCAGUCAUUCCCUUUAAUCCUGUCAGACGCAGUCAAAAUGAGGGGCUUAAGGUGAGGAUGAUCAUCUGUUCAAGAGUCUAAUGUAUGCUGUGUAUCAGAAUUGAUGGUUGAAAAUGAAGAAAGCCUAAAACUCAAACCUAGGAUCUUAACUGCUCUCUCCCUGCCACAGAUCUCAAUCUAAGUCUUUUGGCAGCAACAGCCAACCAAUCUAAGGCCUUGUUUCUAAGCUGAUUCUCAAGAGAUGGGCAGAGUUUCAGAAGAUGGAGACUUGAUAACCAAAGAGAGUAGGGCCAACCUUCAUGAACCUGGCCCUCCCAACCUUGUCAUUCCCAGAUGUAGCAUAGACUCCUCAACAGAACCUCAAGUCUGAAUUGAGAAUAUAGCCUUCUACUGAGCUGAAAGUUUUUGGGCAGAUAAACAGAAAAAUGAAAGCUGCUAUACCUGGCUGGCCCUUUAAGGUCAGAAAAUGGUAUCCAGAGGAAAUCUUAAGGAAUGACCCUGGAGUGCUCAGGAUAAAAACUAAUUUACAGAGCUUCAACAUCAAUCUACCCAUUUUGACAGAUCACAUCCUGGCUGUUGGUGUGGCUAGCCCUGAUGAAGGUACCCUAUUUGCCUGUUUAGACUCAGCCCUUGUAUGCCUUUUUUGACAUGUUGCAAUCAGACUGGCUGUGCCUGAGAAAACUACCAACUGGUACCAGUCUGUCCUACACUCAGUUCCACCCAAGGAGUUUUGAAUAGAAGCAGCUUGCAUCUUACCACUGCCCCCCAACCCCAGGACUUAAUGUUCACAACUGGAAGGACCAUGCUGUAUACUACGUGACCAGCAGCCUUUUUUUUUUUUUUUAAGUGCAGAGUAAGCCUCUACACCUGUGUAUAUGUCACCAUUUUCAGCACUUGAGACCCCUUCUACCAGAUCUGAAAGACUACAGCAGAUUGAAAGCACUGUCCAUUUCUCUCUUCUGCAAUAAUACAGAGGUGACAGAAAUGUUACCAGUUCACCUUGGCAAAGGACUAAAGGAACACAAAAAGAGGUUUCCACUGAAGUUAAAACUUACCACUGACUUCAGUAGCCUCACAGAACUAUUUGCCAGUGGGAGGCUUGUCCAGCAUCAUGUCAGCAAGAUGGUUGAGCUCUCAGAUUCAAGGCCACUGAGUUUACUUCUGUUGAAACACUAUUGCAUCAUCCAAAGUAUGCUAUUGGACACAAUUAUUAUAUUCAAAUGGAUUACAAGCUUCCUGGGUACAGGACAAAUUUAACUCCUCAUGAUGUUUUCAGAAUACUUUUAUUAUCAAGAAAGUAACAAAUGCCAGCUCUUAGUGAACAGAGACUAAACUUUUUCAGUAUCUGGUCAUAUUGACAUCAGUUGUUUUUGAUUGACCAGCAUCCAUUCCAUCUCUUUGUAACAACUGUGAUGUUCCUUGGAACCACUUUUCCGUAUCUUCAGUCCACAUGAUUCAGACAGUCUGGCCUAACUUUAAGCUUCAUGGGUGGACAUGUAAUUCAGACCUGAUGAAUCAGCAUUGUCCAUCUUUUUCACCAUAAAGAUUUCAUUCUGGAAUGGUCAUGUGAUCCAAGUUGGUCCAGUGAUACUCAGCCCUAGGACUUUCACUGAACUGUGGAGGAGAAGCUCAGAAGCUCUCUUUACUGAGGUUGCUUGGCUUUGCAGUAUGAAAAACUCAAACCAACAGGGCCCACCAUAUUGAAUGAGCCAGAGAAUGAAGCCAGUGCAGAGCCAAAUGAUGGAGAGACUUGAGUCCUGAUGACAAUGUUUGUGCCCCUGGAUCCAACCGUGCCUGAAGCUAGUAUAUCCCUAUGGACUUUUCAGUUAUGUGAGCCAAUAAAUACCCUUUUUUGCUUUAAGUUA